rnacentral:rRNA from 1 species
UUAAGUGACUAAGCGUACACGGUGGAUGCCUUGGCAGUCAGAGGCGAUGAAGGACGUGCUAACCUGCGAAAAGCUGUGGGAAGUCGGUAAGAGACGUAAGACCCACAGAUGUCCGAAUGGGGAAACCCAGUGAGUUUACUCACUAUCGUAUGAUGAAUACAUAGUCAUACGAGGCGAACCGGGAGAACUGAAACAUCUAAGUACCCCGAGGAAAAGAAAUCAACCGAGAUCCCCUUAGUAGCGGCGAGCGAAAGGGGGCCAGCCCUUAAGUUGAUAGCAAUGCAGUGGAAUCAUCUGGAAAUAUGAGCGAUACAGGGUGAUAGCCCCGUACACGAAGCGUUGUUAUGAAUGAAAACGAGUAGGACGGGACACGAGACAUCCUGUUUGAAGAUGGGGGGACCAUCCUCCAAGGCUAAAUACUCCUGACUGACCGAUAGCGAACCAGUACCGUGAGGGAAAGGCGAAAAGAACCCCUGUUAGGGGAGUGAAAUAGAACCUGAAACCGUGUACGUACAAGCAGUGGGAGCCUCCUUGUGGGGUGACUGCGUACCUUUUGUAUAAUGGGUCAGCGACUUACGUUUUGUAGCGAGGUUAACCGAAUAGGGGAGCCGUAGGGAAACCGAGUCUUAACUGGGCGAAUAGUUGCAAGGCGUAGACCCGAAACCCGGCGAUCUAUCCAUGUGCAGGUUGAAGGUUGGGUAACACUAACUGGAGGACCGAACCCACUAAUGUUGAAAAAUUAGGGGAUGACGUGUGGAUAGGGGUGAAAGGCUAAUCAAGCCGGGAGAUAUCUGGUUCUCCUCGAAAGCUAUUUAGGUAGCGCCUCGAGCGAAUACCAUUGGGGGUAGAGCACUGUUAAGGCUAGGGGGUCAUCCCGACUUACCAACCCUUUGCAAACUCCGAAUACCAAUGAGUACUACUCGGGAGACACACGACGGGUGCUAACGUCCGCCGUGAAAAGGGAAACAACCCAGACCACCAGCUAAGGUCCCAAAGUCAUGGUUAAGUGGAAAACGAUGUGGGAAGGCAUAGACAGCUAGGAGGUUGGCUUAGAAGCAGCCACCCUUUAAAGAAAGCGUAAUAGCUCACUAGUCGAGUCGGCCUGCGCGGAAGAUGUAACGGGGCUCAAACCAUGCACCGAAGCUGUGGACUUGCAUUAUGUGCAAGUGGUAGAGGAGCGUUCUGUAAGCCUGCGAAGGUAGAUUGUGAAGUCUGCUGGAGGUAUCAGAAGUGCGAAUGCUGACAUAAGUAACGAUAAGGGGAGUGAAAAACUUCCCCGCCGGAAGACCAAGGGUUCCUAUCCCAUGCUAAUCAGGGUAGGGUAAGUCGGCCCCUAAGGCGAGGGCGAAAGCCGUAGUCGAUGGGAAACGGGUUAAUAUUCCCGUACCGACAGUACUGCGAUGGGGGGACGGAGAAAGCUAGGCAAGCAUGGCGUUGGUAGUCCAUGUGAAAGUACGUAGGCAGGGGGAUUAGGCAAAUCCGGUUCCCUAAUGCUGAGAUACGAGACGAGCCACUACGGUGGUGAAGUUGCUGAUGCUACGCUUCCAGGAAAAGCCUCUAAGCUUCAGGUACUGUUGACCGUACUCGAAACCGACACAGGUGGUCAGGUAGAGAAUACCAAGGCGCUUGAGAGAACUCUGGUGAAGGAACUAGGCAAAAUAGUACCGUAACUUCGGGAGAAGGUACGCUCUCUAAUGUGAAAGCCUUGCGCUGUAAGCAUCGGAGAGUCGCAGUGACCAGCUGGCUGCAACUGUUUAUUAAAAACACAGCACUCUGCAAACUCGAGAGAGGACGUAUAGGGUGUGACACCUGCCCGGUGCCGGAAGGUUAAUUGAUGGGGUUAGCGCAAGCGAAGCUCUUGAUCGAAGCCCCGGUAAACGGCGGCCGUAACUAUAACGGUCCUAAGGUAGCGAAAUUCCUUGUCGGGUAAGUUCC